rnacentral:rRNA from 1 species
UACGUAGGGGGCAAGCGUUAUCCGGAUUUACUGGGUGUAAAGGGAGCGUAGACGGCCAUUCAAGCCAGAUGUGAAAGCCCGGGGCUCAACCCCGGGACUGUAUUUGGAACUGUAUGGCUGGAGUGUCGGAGAGGCAGGCGGAAUUCCUAGUGUAGCGGUGAAAUGCGUAGAUAUUAGGAGGAACACCAGUGGCGAAGGCGGCCUGCUGGACGAUGACUGACGUUGAGGCUCGAAAGCGUGGGGAGCAAACAGG